rnacentral:lncRNA from 1 species
CCCCCCUAUGCCAUCUUUUCUUUGGAAUGCUUUGUUGAAUGUCAGUUUCCUGGCUCUUUUCCUCAAUUCAGUCCCGGAUAUGAUGUGUCUUUUUACAUGUACAGUGGUAAUUCAAGAGGACACUUUAGUUCUAAUAUGAGCUCAUUUUAAGCAUCCACCUUUAAUGUUUUGGUACUUGUACGAAACUCAGGAUUCAAUGGUUCAUGAUUAAAUGUUGGGUUUUUUUUCUGAUGAGUGCCAUAUUGAUACAUCAUUUUGUUUAUAGGUCUUCAAUUUUCACAUUGAACAUUCCCAUGUCUGCUCCUGUCUCCAUUGCUGUUUAUCAUUCUGAGGAAAGAAAAUGUAAUGAAUUUAUAAAGGCUACUAUAAAUUUUCUUAUGUUAAAACUUUCCUCAUUUCUGUGUUAUGUAAAAAUAAAAAGAAUGCACAAUUAUGGAAGGGAAUGGUCUGACAUCAAAAUUUACUUAUUACUUUAUAUACUACCAGAAGUCCAGUAAUGGACUGGACUUCUGAUACUACAUGUAUAUAUUAUAAUCAAUCAAAGUUGAAAUUUGUUUCUAAAUAAAAAAAAAAGGAAAAUAUGAUAAUUUAAUUCAUCAUCAUCAAAGUAUUGGUGUUUGCCAGUGGCAAGUAUUUCAUACACGUGUAGCUUUAACCAUCGGUCUAUUUAUGUGCUCUUUAUAAUAAGAUCCGUGAAACAACGACAAAAGACAUUUAAAAAUAUAUACUAACUACUUUAUACAAAAGUACAUUAAUGUUUAAUAGAUUGAAGUGGAAAUUCAAUUUAAUUGAAAAUUUAUCGUACAUAGUCAUAUAUGUAGCACCAGAGAUGUUAUACAUCUAUCUAUGGUAGCACACAGAAACGUGUCCGAUUCCUCCAAAACGCGUCAAUGUGACGUCAAUGAUUUGAUAAACAUGUCAAAUUGCACUGGCGAAACCACUUCUGCGGGAAGCCGGUCGAGCAGUACCCUCAUAGACAUACAUUUUGUAAAAAGACAUUUAGGCAUCACCGGAUAAUAUUAAAACAAUAGAAUUUACUUACUAUUAAACG